CAAAGCAUCACUUAAAUAAAGUACUUCGCUUACACCGAAGCUAUGUCUGUUGAACCCAGACUGCUCUGCG
rnacentral:tRNA from 1 species